rnacentral:rRNA from 1 species
UACGGAGGGUGCAAGCAUUAAUCGGAUUUAUUGGGCGUAAAGGGCGCGUAGGCGGUAAUGUAAGUCAGAUGUGAAAUUCCGGGGCUCAACCCCGGAGCUGCAUUUGAAACUGCAUAACUAGAGGAUAGAAGGAGAAAACGGAAUUCCACAAGUAGCGGUGAAAUGCGUAGAUAUGUGGAAGAACACCGGUGGCGAAGGCGGUUUUCUAUUUUAGACCUGACGCUGAGGCGCGAAAGUAAGGGGAUCAAACAGG